CUGGGGCCAUUUCAUCUCUUUCAAUGGCCCGGCAUCAUCAUCGCUGUAUGCAGGCCUGACCUCAGGCAGAAGGGAGUGAGGCAGCAUGACAUAGGAUGAAGCAGAAAGGCACUGGGGUGAGUGGGCCGGCGUCUGAAUGCCCACUCUCUAGCUGUGUGAUCUUAGGGAUCAUGACUGCUUCCCAGACCUUAGUCUCAGGAUGCCACACCGGAAGAGCUGGACCCCACAUUUGAAGACAGAUGUCCCUGGCGGUGCCCGCCUGCUCUGUAAAGAGCUAGUCCCAGGCUCCCAUUGUGACCUAGCACCUCAACCUCUCCUGACCCUUUUGCCUAGGCCAGAUCCUGAGAUCGGAGAGUACAUACAUCUCCCUGGGGCUUGCUUUCCUCUCCCAUAAAAUUUAGGAGUUGGGGAUGAUCUUAUCCCUCUACCUAGACUGUAGACUCCUGGGAGCGGGAGGCAAGGCACUCACAAGCAAGGGCAUCAGAGUGACAUCAAGACACAAACAGCCAUGGAAUCUUGGGAACAGAUCAAGGAGUCCACCUCUUAAAAUAUUGUAAAAAAUAAAAUCUGAGUACGAAUGUUGGAGUCCCAGGAGAGAGAAAAUGAUGACCACGCUUGUGUUGCUGUGGGGACAACAAGGGCUGGUCCUAAAAGGAAAAUUGAGAGACUAAUACCAAAGAUGGUUAUAUGCAUGCUGAUCAGCCAGACACGAUGAUAUCCUCUACAGAUGUAAGGAGGACACAGCAUUCAAGACACCAUUUUGGAAGCAGAGACUGGAUCUACUA
rnacentral:lncRNA from 10 species